CUGCAGCUAUGGGGACAUGGUGCCCAAUACCAUCGCGGGGAAGAUCUUUGGGUCGAUUUGUUCGCUGAGUGGCGUGCUGGUCAUUGCUCUGCCCGUGCCCGUCAUCGUGUCCAAC
rfam:Lepisosteus oculatus linkage group LG1, whole genome shotgun sequence.